rnacentral:rRNA from 1 species
UACGUAGGGUGCGAGCGUUGUCCGGAAUUACUGGGCGUAAAGAGCUCGUAGGUGGUUUGUCGCGUUGUUCGUGAAAACUCACAACUCAAUUGUGGGCGUGCGGGCGAUACGGGCAGACUGGAGUACUGCAGGGGAGACUGGAAUUCCUGGUGUAGCGGUGGAAUGCGCAGAUAUCGGGAGGAACACCAGUGGCGAAGGCGGCUCUCUGGGGUAUUGCUGACGCUGAGGCACGAAAGCCAGGGGAGCGAACGGG